rnacentral:tRNA from 1 species
UGAAAUAUAGUAUAACUCAAAUACAUUUCAUUUACAUUGAAAGAAUGUUUAAAUUGUUAAAUUAUUUCAA